UACCAAAGGAUAAUAGUAUUCCACUGGUCUUAGGCACCAAAAUCCUUGGUGCAGA
rnacentral:tRNA from 1 species